GCACUAACUGCACUAACUGCGCAUUAACUGUAACUGUGCAGUAUCAGCUUCCUGCCCAGCUGUGCCAGCACUUGUCCCAGCAGUGUCCCAGCCCUUUCCAGCAGCACCCCAGCAGUGUCCCAGCCCUUUCCAGCAGCACCCCAGCCCUGCCCAGCCGUUCCAGCAGUGCCUGUCC